CCUACGGGGGGCAGCAGUGGGGAAUAUUGCGCAAUGGGCGAAAGCCUGACGCAGCGACGCCGCGUGAGGGAUGAAGGUCUUCGGAUCGUAAACCUCUGUCAGCAGGGAAGUACGGUCACUGUGCUAAUCAGCAGUGAAUUGACGGUACCUGCAACGGAAGCAUCGGCUAACUCCGUGCCAGCAGCCGCGGUAAUACGGAGGAUGCGUGGGUUAUCCGGUUUUAUUGGGUUAAAAGGGUGCGCAGGCGGUCUGUUAAUUCAGCGGGCAAAGCCCGGGGCUCAACCCCGGCCCGCCGUUGAAACUGGCAGUCUCGAGUUGGAGAGAAGUAUGCGGAAUGCGCGGUGUAGCGGUGAAAUGCAUAGAUAUCGCGCAGAACUCCGAUUGCGAAGGCAGCAUGCUGGCUCCACACUGACGCUGAGGCACGAAAGCGUGGGUAUCGAACAGGAUUAGAUACCCCUGUAGUC
rnacentral:rRNA from 1 species